rnacentral:rRNA from 1 species
AUUGAACGCUGGCGGCAGGCUUAACACAUGCAAGUCGAGCGGGGAAGGGUAGCUUGCUACCUAACCUAGCGGCGGACGGGUGAGUAAUGCUUAGGAAUCUGCCAUUUAGUGGGGGACAACAUUCCGAAAGGAAUGCUAAUACCGCAUACGUCCUACGGGAGAAAGCAGGGGAUCUUCGGACCUUGCGCUAAAUGAUGAGCCUAAGUCGGAUUAGCUAGUUGGUGGGGUAAAGGCCUACCAAGGCGACGAUCUGUAGCGGGUCUGAGAGGAUGAUCCGCCACACUGGGACUGAGACACGGCCCAGACUCCUACGGGAGGCAGCAGUGGGGAAUAUUGGACAAUGGGCGGAAGCCUGAUCCAGCCAUGCCGCGUGUGUGAAGAAGGCCUUAUGGUUGUAAAGCACUUUAAGCGAGGAGGAGGCUACCAGUAUUAAUACUACUGGAUAGUGGACGUUACUCGCAGAAUAAGCACCGGCUAACUCUGUGCCAGCCGCCGCCGUAAGAC